AUGAAGUGCCAGGACCACCAGAAGCAUUACAUGGUGGCCUGCUUUCUUUACUCAUCUCCUUGGGUAGAUUCCAGCUCGCCUAAUUUCCUUUCUUGGCAAAAGAGGAGGGACUGGUCGGACGAAUCUGAGGAGGAGCUGGAGAAGGAGACAGAGAAGGAGCGCGCCCCUGAGCCUGAGGAGACCUGGGUGCUGGACACCCUGUGUGGGCUCAAGAUGAAGCUAAAAAGACGGCGAGUGUCACCCGUGCUCCCUAAGAACUACGAGGCCUUCAACACGCUGCUUGGUCCCAGUUCGCCUUGGUUCCUUUGCCGGAAAAGGAAGAGGGAGUGGUCGGACCAAUCUGAGGAGGAGACUGAGGAGGGGACCGAGGAGGAGACAGAGAAGGAGCGUACCCCUGAGCCUGAGAACUGGGUGCUGGAGACGCUUCAGGCGCUGAAGAUGAAACUGAAGCGACAGCGAGUGUCACCCAAGCUCCAUAAGCACCACCAGGCCUUCAACAGGCUGAUUGCCGACCUCAGCCGGAGGUCUCUCCUGGUGGUGCCCCUGAGCAGCAGCCUGAUUUCUGCCCCCAGCUACCUGGCCAAUGACAUGGAGGAAGACGACGAGGGCCCCCAAACAAGCCAUCUUCUACUUCCUGUAUGGGAAGAACCGCUCCCAGCAACCCUUGUUCCAGAAGCUUUACUUCUAGUUCUUCUGUUCCAUGCACUGCAGGGCUUGGGUUUCCCUGAAGAAGCUGGAGGAGAUCCAGGCUUAUGACCCAGAGCACUGGGUGUGGGCACGAAAUCAUGCCCUCCUUUCCUAGAGCUCCAGGGACCAUGGAGGCCUGAGGUCAUCGGCCUGAGGGAAGUAUGUCUUCGUCCCCCAGGGUCAAGGCAGAAUAUUGUGUCUAUUUAGGAAACCCAAGGAACCCAAUUGCUUGACCCGGCUUCAAGCCUGGGCAACAUGGCGAGAUCCACUCUCCACAAAAAUUCACAUAUUAGCUGGGCAGGGUAGGAGGCAUCUCUAUUCCCAACUACUCGGGAGGCUGAGGAAGGAUCACUGGAGCCUGGGGGGUCGGGGCUGCAGGGAGCCCUGACCCUGCCACUGUACUCCAGCCUGGUCAACACAGCGAGACCCUGUCUCAAAAUUCAUCAGAAAUACUGAGUUCCGGGAGGUUCUGUAGGAUUGACACACUUGGAUUACCUAUUUGGGUCAGGGAUUCAGUGAAGCUUUGGUUUACAUCUUGUGCAGCUAACCACGUUGAGGACUCAGCAUGAGACUUAAACAUUAGGAAGUAGGAUUAUGGAUUAGGCUCCGGGACUCAUGAUUCGUGAUGUUGUCACGUUAGAAACGUAUCUAGUGUGGUUACCAGUUUAGAUCUUAAGUGACACAAAAGGCCCCACGUGUGAUGAAGUCUAAAGCCACAUUGUCUGAGGGUGCUGUACUCCCUGGGCAGACCCACACAAAGUCCUGGCUAGGAAGCAGAUCACUGGGGAUGGCCUUGGGUGUAUUAAGUGAGUUUUGGAGUCAGGGUCACCAAAGUGUGCGUAUCACAAUUGAACACCACGGUUCAGAAGCAGGCUAGA